GCGGUGUGAAAAAAAUACUAAUAAUUUCUGGACAGCUGUGUUGGGAAAUAUUCUUUCAUAUUGGAGAAAAGAAGGAAAAAUAAUAAAAGAUAAACAGAAUAUGAACUUUGGUAGACUAAAACAGUGCCAGAAGGUCAAGCAGACUCCAAGAGAGUCAGAAUAAGGUAAAAGAGAACUUGAUGAUUAAAAAGUUGCUUCCUCUCCACCAGGUACAGCCAGUCAGUCUGGUUUUCCCCAGGCCCCUGUUAGCAGCUGUUGCCAUGUCAGCAGCCAAAGGUGUGGCUUUAUUCAUCUCACUUUCCUUUUUAUGUGGUCCGUGAGUUUUUCUUUAUUAGUAUGUCAUAUAUUGCCUGCUGCCCUACUGGCAGUGGCAGGCUUAAACUGGAAGUUUUUAAGGAAAAUGUAAGAGUUUCUAAGUUCUGCCAGGCUGACAGUUUUAGAAUAGUUAUUCCUGAUUUGCAAAUUUUAGUUAACUUGUGAGUUUCAGGAAUCUUUCUGUUUUAUAAAGGUGGCUUUGUUUUGGGAGGGCUCUUAACUGAAUUUGGAAAGGUUACAGCUGAGGCAGAGUCUACGCCCAGUGUUGCUGGAGUGACAGAGCUACCUAGCUGAACAAAUUCUUGCCCAAACCAAACACCCAAGAAAGAGAAGGAUGUUUGCUUUUCGGUCUUCCAGCUGCCAUCUCCUCUUCUGCCUUCCCUCCCCUUAGGCUCCUUGGGGACUUACUAUUUCCCCAUCCUCUCCCACAAAAGGACCUGGAGCAACCAGAUGCCACAGAACAGACUCUGCAUGUGAAGACAGCUGAUGCUUUUCAUAGGAACUGCACUCCUCAUCCCGACCCACUCAGGCUUGGACCUAAAAAUUCCCUCUGGCAUCGGCCCUGGGUCUGGUGAUUGUUAGUCACGGCCAGCACCCUAGAAUGAUAGGAAAGGAAACCAAGCACCCUGCUUCAAAGGUGUUUUGCUUGAAGCAAGUAAUUUACCUUUGUUUGCCUCUGAAAUUAGAAUUUUUAAAGAUAAGUAAAACAUUUUGGGGUAAUCUACCUCUAUUUGUAUUUUGGCUGCUGAAAACCAGCCCAAAAUUCCUUAGUCAACGUCCAUCUUGUCAUUAGCAAUAUAGGAAAUCAAAUGUUUUCACAGUCAAGGAGCAAGGAACAGAUGAGCUGUUACAUUUGUGUUUGUGCAGCACUUCAGUGUUUCCAGGUUUAUUGAUGCACCAAAAUUUUUCCAGUGAGCUGUAAUGAACAGAGCUAUGAGCGUGAGGACUGUGUU